rnacentral:rRNA from 1 species
UGGGGAAUUUUGGACAAUGGGGGCAACCCUGAUCCAGCAAUGCCGCGUGUGUGAAGAAGGCCUUCGGGUUGUAAAGCACUUUUGUCCGGAAAGAAAACGCCGUGGUUAAUACCCGUGGCGGAUGACGGUACCGGAAGAAUAAGCACCGGCUAACUACGUGCCAGCAGCCGCGGUAAUACGUAGGGUGCAAGCGUUAAUCGGAAUUACUGGGCGUAAAGCGUGCGCAGGCGGUCCGCUAAGACAGAUGUGAAAUCCCCGGGCUUAACCUGGGAACUGCAUUUGUGACUGGCGGGCUAGAGUAUGGCAGAGGGGGGUAGAAUUCCACGUGUAGCAGUGAAAUGCGUAGAGAUGUGGAGGAAUACCGAUGGCGAAGGCAGCCCCUGGGCCAAUACUGACGCUCAUGCACGAAAGCGUGGGGAGCAAACAGGAUUCAGAUACCCUGGUAGUCCACGCCCUAAACGAUGUCAACUAGUUGUCGGGUCUUCAUUGACUUGGUAACGUAGCUAACGCGUGAAGUUGACCGCCUGGGGAGUACGGUCGCAAGAUUAAACUU